CGGACGGGUGAGUAACGCGUAGGUAUCUAUCUCCGGGUGGGGGGACAACUGUGGGAAACUACAGCUAAUACCGCAUGAUGCCCGAGGGCCAAAGGCGCAAGUCGCCUGGAGAGGAGCCUGCGUACGAUUAGCUUGUUGGCGGGGUAAAGGCCCACCAAGGCGACGAUCGUUAGCUGGUCUGAGAGGAUGAUCAGCCACACUGGGACUGAGACACGGCCCAG
rnacentral:rRNA from 1 species